GGAUAGCUCAGUUGGCGAGAGCAUGGCGUCUAUAAUGCCAAGGUUGCAGAUUCAAUCGCCGUAAGGGACA